UCGUAACAAGGUUUCUGUAGGUGAACCUGCAGAAGGAUCAUUAGUGAAAGUUUCGGGCCUGCCAUACGGACGCAAACACGUCUCUGGCGCCCAUCACUAUAUCCAUACCAACCCCUGUGCACUGUGAUGACGAAUGUCAUCGAACAAAAAAAAACUCGUAUGGUUGAAUGUACGUGAAAUUGUAGGUAUAGCCUACGAACUAUACACAACUUUCGACAACGGAUCUCUUGGUUCUCCCAUCGAUGAAGAACGCAGCGAAACGCGAUAGGUAAUGUGAAUUGCAGAAUUCCGUGAAUCAUCGAAUCUUUGAACGCACCUUGCGCUCCAUGGUAUUCCGUGGAGCAUGCCUGUUUGAGUGCCGCGAAUUCUCCCUCCCCUUACGGUGGCCGAAAGGCCGAAGUAGGGCGGACGGGGUAGGAUGGGUGUUUGCUGCCUGGGGAUUGUACCAGGCUCGCCCGAAAUGCAUAAGCGCCAGGACCCUCGCUACCGCUCUCUAGGGAAGAGUGGCUAAGCGACCGCUGAGCAUGGCAUGAUACGUCAUUUGCUGUGUGUGGGCGGCCGGUUGGAGAGGUGUCUGCUUUACCAGCCCUAUUUU
rnacentral:misc_RNA from 1 species